CCCGAGUCCAGGUGGUGGCACCAGGGAUUCCCCCCCCACAGUCCUGACCUCCGCUCUCCUUUGGGGUUUUUCCCAGUCCCCCGAGCUCAGUUUUGUAUGGGGGAACCUGCACCGUGGGAGUGAUGUGGUCCUUCCUCGGUGGAGUCGAGGGCCAGGGGGCGGAGACUCUUCAGAGACUGCAAAACCCUUCGCGCAGGGAAUCGAGGCUACAGCUCUCGUCCGGAGGGAAUGAUUGUGGAAGGCAAAGAUGGAGUGAGUCAUAACCUUGAUCGCUGCCAUGUACCGGAGCCUCCCGUGUUCUUGGUGCUUCGCAUUAUUAAUUACCUAAUGGAACGUGUGCAACGUCCUGCCAGGCAAGUAUCUUUCUUCUCAUUUUACGAAUGAGGAAAAUUGAGGCUCAGGGAGAUAAAAUGACUUGCCUGAGGUCCCAGGCUAGUCAGUGAGAAAAGUCUAGAUGUGAACUCGGGUCUGUCUGACUCCAGCCUCUUCUGCAGAAGACUUUCUGUAGGAGGGCUCACCCUGAGCAAAGGCCUUGAGGCUGGAAGGGUUUGGUGAGAUCACAGAGUGAUGAUUUGGGUGGUAAAGUGCAGCAGGGGAAAAUGAACUUGGUGGGAGGGCCCUGAACACCAGGCUGAGGAUUCCGGACUUUUUUCCAUAAGCAGUGGGGAGCCAUGGAAGGUUUGGCGGCAGGAAGUGAAAAGGAUGAAUAGCUGGCAAAUACAGCUGAGGACCACUUGAAUCAGAAUCUUCCCCGGCCUCACACAUGGAGAUUCUGAUUCUGUAGGUUUGGGAUGGGCCUGUCAAUGGGUAUUUUCCAAUGUGCUCGCCAGGUGGCUCUGAUGUCCAGCCAGUGUGGGGCUUCACUGCCCUGCAGAGAACAAAUGGCAGUCAAGAGGGCCUGUCCCCUUAGGUCUGAGCUCUCCCUCAUCAGUGGCCUCACCCUCAGCUGCAAUGCCAGCUCUUCCUUUGGGACAUCGAGCAGCUGCUUUUUUUUUUUUUUUUGAAAGUGUGGAGUCCUAACCACUGGACCACCAGGGAAUUCCGAAGCAGCUGCUUUUCUAAUGCAAGCACCCCUGAGAGGGGCAUCACUUUUGCCCUUGUAAGCUCUUCCCACAUAUGGGGGGUGGGACAGUUCAGGACACAGGCUGGGGGCUCAGACUGGCCUGGCUUCAAUCCUGGCUUUCCCGCUUAUCAUAUGACCUCUGUAAAAUGGGGUUAAUUUAUCAGGACCUACCUCACAGGUUCAUUGUGAGAACUAAAGGAGAUAAAGCAUUUAAAAACGCUUGGCACA